rfam:Arthrobacter sp. AK-YN10 contig424, whole genome shotgun sequence.
UCAAGGUUCCGCUCUGGAACCUCCGGACGACGGUUCAGUACCCGGUGCGCGACAAGACUGGCCAAA